rnacentral:rRNA from 1 species
AGAGUUUGAUUAUGGCUCAGGAUGAACGCUAGCUACAGGCUUAACACAUGCAAGUCGUGGGGCAGCAUGGUCUUAGCUUGCUAAGACUGAUGGCGACCGGCGCACGGGUGAGUAACGCGUAUCCCAACCUGGCCCACGAGUAGGGGAUAGACCCGGCGAAAGUCGGAUUAAUACCCUAUGUUUUCCUUUGAGAGCAUUUGACGAGGAACAAAGAUUUCAUCGCUAUGGGAUGGGGAUGCGUCCGAUUAGCUUGACGGCGGGGUAACGGCCCACCGUGGCUUCGAUCGGUAGGGGUUCUGAGAGGAAGGUCCCCCACAUUGGAACUGAGACACGGUCCAAACUCCUACGGGAGGCAGCAGUGAGGAAUAUUGGUCAAUGGGCGAAGGCCUGAACCAGCCAAAGUAGCGUGAGGGAUGACUGCCCUACGGGUUGUAAACCUCUUUUGCGGGGGAAUAAAGUGCGGGACGCGUCCCGUUUUGUAUGUACCCUGAGAAUAAGGACCGGCUAAUUCCGUGCCAGCAGCAGC